rnacentral:rRNA from 1 species
GACGGAGGAUGCAAGUGUUAUCCGGAAUCACUGGGCGUAAAGCGUCUGUAGGUGGUUUAAUAAGUCAACUGUUAAAUCUUGAGGCUCAACCUCAAAAUCGCAGUCGAAACUAUUAGGCUAGAGUAUAGUAGGGGGUAAAGGGAAUUUCCAGUUGGAGCGGUGAAAUGACGUAGAGAUUGGAAAGAACACCGAUGGCGAAGGCACUUUACUGGGCUAUUACUAACACUCAGAGACGAAAGCUAGGGUAGCAAAUGGGAUUAGAU